GCUCCCCCGGCCCCGCCGCUCCGGGAGGAUGGUGGGAGCGAGAUGAUUCCCGAGCCGGAGCCGCCGCCAGCCCCGGCCCGGGAGGGAGAAGAGGAGGCGGCGGAGGAGGAGGCGAGGGAGGGCGGCGGCGCCGGGCGGCACAGCUGCAUCAUGCUGGUGAACAGGAUCGGCCUGAAGGCGGGCGGCGGCGGCGCGCAACAAGGUAUUGGUCGGCCAAGUGUGUACCAUGCAGUGGUGGUCAUAUUUCUAGAAUUCUUCGCCUGGGGGCUCUUGACAACUCCAAUGCUAACAGUCUUACAUGAAACGUUUUCCCAUCAUACAUUUUUAAUGAAUGGUCUUAUUCAAGGUGUUAAGGGUUUUUUCUCUUUUCUUAGUGCUCCGCUAAUAGGUGCUCUAUCGGAUGCAUGGGGAAGAAAAUAUUUUCUUCUUAUUACAGUUUUCUUCACUUGUGCCCCAAUUCCAUUAAUGAGAAUAAGUCCAUGGUGGUACUUCGCCAUGAUUUCGGUGUCAGGAAUCUUUUCUGUUACGUUUUCUGUAAUAUUUGCCUAUGUAGCUGAUGUAACACAAGAACAUGAAAGAAUUACAGCCUAUGGACUGGUAUCUGCCACUUUUGCAGCAAGUUUGGUAACUAGUCCUGCCAUUGGAGCAUACUUGUCUGCCAGCUAUGGAGAUAACCUUGUUGUACUAGUGGCCACAUUGGUGGCAGUUGUGGACAUCUGCUUCAUUCUGCUAGCUGUACCUGAAUCUCUGCCAGAAAAAAUAAGACCUGCUUCGUGGGGAGCUUCUAUAUCAUGGGAACAAGCAGAUCCUUUUGCAUCUUUGAAGAAGGUUAGAAAAGAUUCUACAGUUCUCCUGAUAUGCAUUACAGUGUUUCUCUCCUAUCUGCCUGAGGCUGGCCAGUAUUCUAGCUUUUUUCUGUACUUGCGACAGAUUAUAGGUUUUGGAUCUGCCAGUAUUGCAGCAUUUAUAGCUGUGGUAGGCAUUCUGUCUAUAAUAGCUCAGUGGUCCUCCUCAGACUGCUCCUGGCUGUACCAAGAAGGAUUACAGAGCCCUUGUAGCAGCCCUAAGGGACUCCGGAGUGCAGACUGUGUUUCUUGGUAUCUUGAUGAGGUCUAUAGGGAACAAAAAUACAGUUCUUCUUGGCCUUGGCUUUCAAAUCCUUCAGUUGGCUUGGUAUGGUUUUGGAUCUCAGUCUUGGAUGAUGUGGGUAGCAGGAGGUGUAGCAGCAAUGUCAAGCAUUACAUUCCCGGCAGUUGGCGCUCUGAUUUCACGAAAUGCAGAGUCAGACCAACAAGGUGUUGUCCAAGGAAUAAUAACUGGAGUAAGAGGUCUAUGCAAUGGCCUAGGACCAGCACUGUAUGGCUUUAUUUUCUUUCUUUUUCAUGUGGAGCUCAGUGAAUUGCCACCUGAUCAGACUUCUGGAAAAAAAGCAAUGCAAGAUCCCAGUGAUGAGAGAGCAAUCAUUCCUGGUCCACCCUUUCUGGUUGGAGCAUGCAUUGUUCUUCUGGCUUUCCUAGUCGCCUUAUUUAUUCCUGAGCACAGCAAAACCAGCAGUACCAGAAAACACAGCAGCAGCAGCAGCAAUACUCUGGUUAACAACCUAGACCGAAGUAGUGAAGAGGACAUUGAACCAUUGCUGCAAGAUAGCAGUGUAUGAAGGCUGCUUCUGAGGAGACUGUGGAAAAAAUCCAUACACUGAAUUGCAGCUCUGAAAACUUGAUGGGAUGUACAGAGAUCUUGCCUCUGAAAAGAAGGCAGCUUCCCAUGUGACAAGGGAACGUCAUAUGCUGUAUGAUACUUAAGGUUAAUACCAUACCUGCAGGAGGGUUUGUUUAGCAUAACAGAUCACAGCUGGGUGUGACUCAACCCAAUAUUGGACUGCAUAUGCUAGGUCAAAUCCUGGUAUUGGCAGAAAUGCAAAUAUACAGGCAUAAUGUUUUUUGUUUGUUUUUUAAAGUUUGAAUGUUCCAUUCCCAAAGUUGUAUGCAAAAUAACCAGGUUUGAGGCAGAAUGCUUUCUGCCACCACUGUUAAAGGUGGUUUUGUGUUUCUUAUGCCUUUUGUCUGCAUGUAUACCACAUAUAGUCCUCACAAUGUGAGAGGGACUGAUCAUACAGUUCUGGCGUCUGAAAUAGUGGCUGUCAAUACAAGUAAUACAAUUUCUGAAGACACAUUCUCAAAUGUUAUUUGGUAAAAAGAAAUCCAGAAGUUACAUGAAAGCAAUGAUGAAACUGAGAUGACUUUUGAGGGUAUAUGAUUACACAUGACAGUCAUUACCCAUAAAUGAAGGUCAUACUGAACCCUUAAACCUACAUUCCAGAACAGUCAGUUCUGAGCAGUUAAAGCAAAUCCAAAUGGCACCUGAGAGCACUGGUCACAUUAAUGUUUUGCUGAUUAAAAAUAGAAUUUUAAUUAUAAAAUAAGUGGCAUCAGAAAUAUGGACACUUCUGGCUUCUGAGGUAGGGAAAACAGUGGAUGCUAGAGUAGUUUACAUCAUGAAAUAUGUAUAUUUAUUGCAUUUUAUCACUUUAUCUGCAAUAUGAAAUAAUAUUUCCUAUUAAUUCUUUUCACCCCUGCCUUAACUGCCACUUAUUGUUCAGUUAUUAAUCAUAUUUAGCCUUCAUAUCACUGUCUUACCUGCUGGAUCUCAUGGGUAUAUUAAUAUCAAAUUUCCUUUCUAAAAGAUGCUUUAAAGGAGUUAUGAAUGGCUACAAAUGUGCUAAUUUUUAGAGACAUUUUAUGAAAAAUACAGAGAUUUAUAUGUAUUUUGUUGCAGUGUAAAUGGACCAUUAAACCCAACUUUAAUGAAGUACUCCUAUGAAUGUUUUAUAUGUAUGCAAUAUAUGUAGAUAUUUGUAAGGAGUUUUAAGUUUUCCAGAUGGGGUGCUGUGUAAAUCAGGUAUUUAUAAAUGUAAUGAGGGUACUGACAGAUAUACAGUUUUUUAAAAGGAUUGUGUAUUGACUGAACAAAUUUAAGAAUAUAUAUUUUGAAACUUGUUCCACAUUGAGCAGAGAUAACAAAUCUUUUGUACUAUGCGGUUUGGUUUUUAAAUUAAUAAGCUUCCUAAUGCAUAAUAAAUCUACACCUUAAGCUUU